CCAGGCGUAGCUCAGUAGGUAGAGCGCUCGCUUGGCAUGCGAGGAGGUGCGAGGGCGAUACCACGCCUCCAGCCUGGA